UCUUAUUAGGGCCUUGGCCAGGCCUGGGGAUCCGGCGGCGACGGCCGACAACCUUGGGGUUGAGUCUCCUCCCAGGCGCAUCUCUGCAGUGAGAACCUGAGAACCUUUUGGGGAGGGUAGAUCCUGAAGAUCCGUUUGGGAAUUUGUUUCUCCUGGCUCACCAGCCCCACGUCCCCCAAGUAACAUUCACGACUCUGAGAUCACCACUAUCUGCAUUUCACGGAGAGAAGAAUCUAGGCUUUGAGAAGUUAAGGUAACCUGCCCACGGUCACAUGGCUAGAAACUACAGUCUGAAAACAAGCAGCC